AGAGUUUGAUCAUGGCUCAGAGCGAACGCUGGCGGCAGGCUUAACACAUGCAAGUCGAGCGGGCGUAGCAAUACGUCAGCGGCAGACGGGUGAGUAACGCGUGGGAACGUACCUUUUGGUUCGGAACAACACAGGGAAACUUGUGCUAAUACCGGAUAAGCCCUUACGGGGAAAGAUUUAUCGCCGAAAGAUCGGCCCGCGUCUGAUUAGCUAGUUGGUGAGGUAACGGCUCACCAAGGCGACGAUCAGUAGCUGGUCUGAGAGGAUGAUCAGCCACAUUGGGACUGAGACACGGCCCAAACUCCUACGGGAGGCAGCAGUGGGGAAUAUUGGACAAUGGGCGCAAGCCUGAUCCAGCCAUGCCGCGUGAGUGAUGAAGGCCCUAGGGUUGUAAAGCUCUUUUGUGCGGGAAGAUAAUGACGGUACCGCAAGAAUAAGCCCCGGCUAACUUCGUGCCAGCAGCCGCGGUAAUACGAAGGGGGCUAGCGUUGCUCGGAAUCACUGGGCGUAAAGGGUGCGUAGGCGGGUCUUUAAGUCAGGGGUGAAAUCCUGGAGCUCAACUCCAGAACUGCCUUUGAUACUGAGGAUCUUGAGUUCGGGAGAGGUGGGUGGAACUGCGAGUGUGGAGGUGAAAUUCGUAGAUAUUCGCAAGAACACCAGUGGCGAAGGCGGCUCACUGGCCCGAUACUGACGCUGAGGCACGAAAGCGUGGGGAGCAAACAGGAU
rnacentral:rRNA from 1 species